rnacentral:rRNA from 1 species
UACGAAGGGUGCAAGCGUUACUCGGAAUUACUGGGCGUAAAGGGUGCGUAGGUGGUUGUUUAAGUCUGCUGUGAAAGCCCCGGGCUCAACCUGGGAAUGGCAGUGGAUACUGGACAGCUAGAGUGCGGUAGAGGGUAGUGGAAUUCCCGGUGUAGCAGUGAAAUGCGUAGAGAUCGGGAGGAACACCAGUGGCGAAGGCGGCUUCCUGGUCCAGCACCGGACGUUCAGGCACGAAAGCGUGGGGAGCAAACAGGG